rnacentral:misc_RNA from 1 species
GAUGAAGAACGUAGCUAAAUGCGAUAAGUAGUGUGAAUUGCAGAAUUCAGUGAAUCAUCGAAUCUUUGAACGCACAUUGCGCCUUCUAGUAUUCUGGGAGGCAUGCCUGUUUGAGCGUCAUUAAACCUCUCUCAAGUAUGAUUACUUGGAUGUGAAGGAAGAGUACCUUAAACUUAAGGAGUGUUCUCCUUUGAAAUUGAUUAGCAGAUGGUAAUGUUAUUAAAUCCCUGAUGUUGUAAGAAAUAACAGUGGUUUUGUAGACUAUUAUCUAGCUUUAAAUUAUAAUUUUUAUUAUGGUUGACCUCAAAUCAGGUAAGGAUACCCGCUGAACUUAAGCAUAUCAAAUAAGCGGAGGA